rnacentral:rRNA from 1 species
AUGUAUGUGUUGGACUCUCUCUUGAAAAAAAUGGAGUCUUGGCAAGUCCAGCCGGCGGAUCCCACUCCCACUUCCCCACACGCUCUCCCACGCAGCCACGCUCCUCGCCCGCCGGCCAUGGCGGCGAUGCCGAUGCCGACGCCCCGGUCUCUCCUGCUGCUCCUUCUCCUCGCCACCCCCUUCCUCCUCCUCCCCCUCGCCGCCUCCGCCGCAGCCCCCACCUCCAACCCGGACAUCGACCUCGAGUACCUCAUCAAGAACGCCGGCCUCGACGACGACGCUCCGUCCACCCCCGACGACGACCCCGAGGACGGCGCAACGGACUUCCCCGGCCUCGACGCCGACUACGACGAGGAGGACCUCUUCGGCGACGACGACGGGCCCGAGGAGUCCUCCCACUCCCACCCCUCGGCGGCCGACGAGGCCCACGUGCUCCUCCUCACCGCCGCCAACUUCACCGCCGUCCUCGCCGCCCGGCGCCACGUGAUGGUCGAGUUCUACGCGCCCUGGUGCGGCCACUGCCGCGCGCUGGCGCCCCACUACGCCGCCGCCGCGACGCACCUCGCCGAGCAGGGCGUCGACGUGGCGCUGGCCAAGGUGGACGCCACGGAGGAGCACGAGCUGGCGCAGGCGCACGGCGUGCAGGGCUACCCCACCCUCCUCUUCUUCAUCGACGGCGUGCCCAGGGACUACGCCGGCGAGAGGACCAAGGACGCCAUUGUCGCUUGGAUCGGCAAGAAGCUGGGCCCUGCGGUGCAGAACCUCACCACCGUCGACGAGGCGGAGAAGGUCGUCACCGGCGACGACGUGGCCGUGCUCGCCUACCUCGACCACCUCUCGGGUGUGCACAGCAAUGAGCUUGCUGCUGCCUCAAGGCUGGAAGAUACCGUCAGCUUCUAUCAGACUACCAGCCCUGAUCUGGCCAAGCUUUUCCACAUCGACCCGGAGGCAAAGCGCCCGUCAGUAGUCCUGCUGAAGAAAGAGGAGGAGAAGUUGACCGUAUUUGAUAACUUUCGAGGGGGACCGGACAGUGGUAGAGAUGUACAAGUUCCUCAAGAAGCAUGCCGCCAUCCCUUUCAAGCUCAAGCGCCCGGACUCGUCAGCGGCACGGACCGACAGCGCCGAGGGCCCAGGCUCGACCACCGACAGCGAGAAGAGCUCCGGCUCGAACCCGAAGGACGAGUUGUAGGGGAUUACUUACGCCAUUGA